rnacentral:misc_RNA from 1 species
AGAAAGAAAGAAAGAAAGAAAACACUUUGAUUUCAACUUUAAACAAAUGGGUGCAAAAAAUGUAUGAAUCUUAUAUUGUAUAAUAACAACUCUUUGACAUCCGAGCAACUUUGAAAUAUGCAGAGGUGCAAAAUAUAUGGAUGCAACCUCCUUCAUAGCUAACGAGGGUAUAAUUCAGUAAUCGAGGCUUCAUUUAUUGAUGAAGGGAGAGUUCUGUUGCUGGCCUGUGAAGACUUGGUUGUCCUUGAAGCGCCUAAUGAGGGUGAAAUAUCUGAUUCAGUACCGCUGAGCGCAAAAAGUGCUGGUUGUGAGGGUAAAGGAAGAGUGUGAGAAUGGCUGCUUAGCAUGAGAACAAUGGAAGCCAUGGAUGGCCUCUCUGAUAUAUUUUCUUGAACGCAGAGUAACCCAAUGUGUAUGCAUCUCAUCAUUUCAGUUCUCGAACCAGUACUCAAAUUGGGAUCUAUGAGAUUCAAGGAUGUUCCCUCCCUCCAGUUUUUCCAUGCAUAGCUCAAAAGGUCCUCCAGGUUUUCCUCAUUGCAGAAACAACUAUUUCUUUUGCCACUCACAAUCUCCAAAACUAGCACACCAAAGCUAUACACAUCAGACUUAAAUGAGAACUGUCCAUGCAUUGCAUACUCUGGA